CAGACAAUGAAAAUAUUAGGAGCAAAGCACGAUGCCAAGAACAAUUCAAGCAGAGCCACUUGCAGGGUCAUGGCCAUAUUCCAUUUCAAAUGGGCAUGGAAAUACACUGUGGGUUAUUCUUCUCCAGAGAUGCACAGAUAAUAAGCACCUGCUCCCCGUGUCUACCCUUCCCUUUUAACUGUUGAUUUAUUGAAUGUUUCUGAAAGCUGCGGCCAGGCUCGUGAGGGAGGCAGACCGUGGUGCCUGCGGGAAGAACUGGGAGCGGACAGAAGCACUCUGGCAGACACCCCACCAAUAGAUACCAUGGGGUGCAGAGCCGAACGGGGCCAGGAACAAAAGCUGCCUUUUGUUUUGGAUCUAGACCAAACUGUGGUUUUGGAGGGCACGCAUACAGAGUUCAGCGGUCUACGGCACAAAAAGUGAUGUCUGCAAUACCUAGGCAUUCGGCUUCCCACAGCAUCGAGGGAAGUCCCGGAAUACCUACCUAUCAGAGGCCAGGUUAUUUACUUCCUCAAGUACCAGACUUCAACCACAGGAGCAGUGCAAGGCAAGGCAGAAGAUCAUCUUCUCCCACACGGAUUUCCCCAUCAAGGUCAGAAUUUGUCCUUACUAAAUGCGCUCCUAGGAUGAAGGGAGGGAACCCACGAACACAUAGCAUCCAGCAUGACUUGUUUUCCAUCUGGCAGAUCAACCAGCAGAAACCAGUCUGGGACCAGGUUCAGGGGACUGCCCUUCGCUUGCAGUCGGUUUCAGAGCUGCCUCAGUGAUGGGCUAAUGAGGUUCACCCACUGCCAGGCACCUCCCUGCGACUGAGAGCCACUGUACUGCAAAGCAAAGAGAACAACUUUGAUACUCUCUGGAGGUGAGACGGCAAGUGCAGCUGCGAGGCUCAAAAAGAAAGCACCAGAAAGCAGAGUACGAGCUACUGCUUGUCAUUUAGCAGAGGCAAACGUGAGCACAACCAAAACAACAGAGUGAUCACAACAGCGUUAUCCGAUUAGCAGCACCUGCAACCAACAGAAACAGAUCUUCAAAUGGAGCUGUCAGCCGCCGUUGCAACACGAAGUGUGCUAUAACACACUGAGUGGGAAUAAGGAGCAGUGGUGUAAGAGGUGCAAUUGCAAGAGCACUGAAGGGACACUUGGCAGCGCUUGCGUGCCUGAAAUUAGAUCUGCCCAUCUCGUGCAUGGGUGCGUGGGGGGUGCCAGGUGGGAUUACAAUGAGGCUCUGCUUUCCUGUAAGGCAAAAAAUGUAUUCAAGUUCAGCCAAGAUAUAUGGGUUUAUAUACAAUGAUAUUAUUACUGUUGUUAUUGUGAUACAUGGCAUAAUAACUGCCUUUUACACACAUACCCAGACACGUGUAC
rnacentral:lncRNA from 1 species